rnacentral:rRNA from 1 species
AGCGAACGCUGGCGGCAGGCCUAACACAUGCAAGUCGAACGAACCCUUCGGGGUUAGUGGCGGACGGGUGAGUAACACGUGGGAACGUGCCUUUAGGUUCGGAAUAACUCAGGGAAACUUGUGCUAAUACCGAAUGUGCCCUUCGGGGGAAAGAUUUAUCGCCUUUAGAGCGGCCCGCGUCUGAUUAGCUAGUUGGUGAGGUAAUGGCUCACCAAGGCUACGAUCAGUAGCUGGUCUGAGAGGAUGACCAGCCACAUUGGGACUGAGACAUGGCCCAAACUCCUACGGGAGGCAGCAGUGGGGAUUCUUGCGCAAUGGGCGAAAGCCUGACGCAGCCAUGCCGCGUGGAUGAUGAAGGUCUUAGGAUUGUAAAAUCCUUUCACCGGUGAAGAUAAUGACUGUAGCCGGAGAAGAAGCCCCGGCUAACUUCGUGCCAGCAGCCGCCGUAAGAC